GAAAUGAGCUGCACCUGUGUAGUUGGGGGCUAUGGGUGAGUGGGUCCCACUUAGUCUGGUCUCUUACAAGCAUUAUGUUUAUACCAUAUCUUUCCUUCAAUAUGUACACGAUGAACAACACAGUGCAGUCUAACAACAGUUGAUGUGUAGUGCAACUGCAACAUAAUGUACAGACUCCAACUCGGUGCCAAGGCUUAUGAAGGCAAAACUACAGAUUGCCUUUUUAUUCCUGUUGUCACUUUCAGGGAGCUAUGGACAUCUUCUUUUGUGUGGCUUGCACAGCCUAAAAUUGUUGGACAACUUGUUCUAUUUGAUCUUCCGUUUGACCACGUCGAGUUGAUUGCAUUAGUCGAAACAGGGCGGACCACGUGAAGGUUGCAAUCUUCCACCCCAGCUAUGGACAUGUAUACCAAGGUUCCUCUGUCAUCAAUGCUCUUCUGGUGCUUCUGAUUGACUAUGUCGUAAAAUAAUUUGAUCUCCCAAAGUGCAUUAUCACAAACUGUUUGGAUUACAUUUCAUCUGCCAUCUCUGCCCAUCUUUGCAGUUCAAUUUAAUUUAUUGUCACGUGUACCGAGGUACAGUGAAAAGUUUUUGUUGUGUACUAGCCAGUUUAAUCUAAACAGCUAGACAUAAAAUGCUGGAGUAACUCAGCGGGACAGGCAGCAUCUCUGGAUAGAAGGAAUGGGUCACGUGUCUGGUCGAGACCCUUCUUUAGACUGAGAAUCUAAACAGCUAAUCUAUAUCUGACUGUCCCUUUUGAAACUACCAUGUGAUAGUACCUACUCCAACUACCUUCUCUGGCAGCUCAGCCUAUACACCCACUGUGUUUAAAAUUUUAAAAAAGCCCUUGAGGUUCCUAUUUUUUGUUCUCGCCGUACACCUAUGUCCUCUGGUUCCUUUUUUCUCUCUCUCUCUUUCUCUUUUCCUGCUUUAUUAAGUAAUGGGUCACAUUUGCUAUCAAAUCCAAAGGAACAAUUCCUGAAUCUAGAAUUUUGGAAGAUGACAACCAGAGUGUUUACCUCUUUUAAAACCUUGCCAUAUAGAUUGUUGGACCUCGGAGUUUAUUGGUUCUUAGUCCCAAUAAAUUGCUUUUGUAUUAAUAAUCAUUUCCUUUAUUGCCUCAUCCUUUUUGUGUUUCCUGCAAAGGUAGGAACAGACUUCAAUUCUUCAGUUGUGUCCUAUCUUCACUGUUCUAUUUAUCUACUUAAUAAUCCAUAUAUCAUCUGAAAUGAAUGUACACUAUUUCAUCAUGUCAUGGAUUAUUGGGAGAUUGAUUAUAGUUUCUAGAUACAGCGCCAAAACGAUGGUAUUUUCAUAAAGAUAAUUUCCUUUAAGGCUA